rnacentral:rRNA from 1 species
AACGAACGCUGGCGGCGGGGUUUAGGCAUGCUAGUCGAGCGAGAAAGGGGCAACCCGAGUAAAGCGGCGUAAGGGUGAGUAAUAGGUAGUCUACGUAUCUUCCAGACGCGGAUAAUUUCCCGAAAGGGAUUGUAAUACGCGAUGAGACCACAUGGGAUCCGUCCUGUGGGGCCAAAGGUUCGGGAUCCUUCGGGACCGAGCGCUGGAUGAGCGGACGACCUCCGAUUAGCUAGUUGGCGGGGUAACGGCCCACCAAGGCGAUGAUCGGUAGCCGGCCUGAGAGGGUGUCCGGCCACACUGGGACUGAGACACUGCCCAGACUCCUACGGGAGGCUGCAGUCGCGAAUCAUUCACAAUGGGCGCAAGCCUGAUGAUGCCACGCCGCGUGCGGGAUGAAGGCCCUUUGGGUUGUAAACCGCUGUCAAGGAAGGGGAAACGUACGUCGCGAACAGCGGCGUGCUUGACUGCUUUCUAAAGGAAGCCCCGGCAAAACAUGUGCCAGCAGCCGCGGUAAUACAUGUGG